AAGUCGUAACAAGGUUUCCGUAGGUGAACCUGCGGAAGGAUCAUUAACACGUAUACACGUUUUAAUUAACACUUAUCAACAAUUCUACGAACUUGAUCUCCCUGCUGAAUAUAACUGCGGUGUCGUACUCCUGUCGUGGUGGGUCCCAGUAAACAUGUAGUUGUUCGAGACUUGUGUUAAGCUGAAGGCUGGCAGGCAUCGACUAUUCACACUUCGACUGUGAGCCAAAACACAUUCAGCAGGCUUACUGACUCUAUUCUCGCGUGGAGUUACUCCAAUCCUUACCAUCAUAAGGCCGAGUUUAGAACCCCAUACCAAUUUCACCCUAUUUUACCUAUUUGACUAAUUAACUGAUUCUUAGGAGAAAUCCUUUGAAUUACUAAGAUUUAUCUUAACUAAGCACAACUCUUAGCAAUGGAUAUCUUGGUUCUC
rnacentral:misc_RNA from 1 species